AUUGAACGCUGGCGGCAUGCCUAACACAUGCAAGUCGAACGAGUGGCGGACGGGUGAGUAAUGUAUGGGAAACUGCCUGAUGGAGGGGGAUAACUACUGGAAACGGUAGCUAAUACCGCAUACCAUCGGAUGUGCCCAGAUGGGAUUAGCUAGUAGGUGGGUUAAAGGCUCACCUAGGCGACGAUCCCUAGCUGUCCGGAGAGGAUGACCAGCCACACUGGAACUGAGACACGGUCCAGACUCCUACGGGAGGCAGCAGUGGGGAAUAUUGCACAAUGGGCGAAAGCCUGAUGCAGCCAUGCCGCGUGUAUGAAGAAGGCCUUCGGGUUGUAAAGUACUGUCGGCGGGGAGGCGUUACCGACAGAAGAAGCACCGGCUAACUCCGUGCCAGCAGCCGCGGUAAUUC
rnacentral:rRNA from 1 species